CUGUAACCAACACCUCCAAUCUCACUCCAAUUAGCUCUUGGAGAUGUCAUUAGUCUAGGGGUUUACAUACUUUUUCCACCUGCACUGUGAAUGUUUACAUGUAGUGAUGUCGCGAACGCGAACUUCCGCAAAUGUUCGAACCGGCGAACCGCCAUAGGCUUCAAUGGGCAGGCGAAUUUUAAAACACACAGGGACUCUUUCUGGCCACAAUAGUGAUGGAAAAGUUGUUUCAAGGGGACUAACACCUGGACUUUGGCAUGCCGGAGGGGGAUCCAUGGCAAAACUCCCAUGGAAAAUUACACAGUUGAUGCAGAGUCUGGUUUUAAUCCAUAAAGGGCAGAAAUCACCUAACAUUCCUAAAUCAC